GUGUGUGUGUGUGUGUGUGUGUGUGUGUGUGUGUGUGUGUGUGUGUGUGUGUGUGUGUGUGUGUGUGUGUGUGUGUGUGUGUGUGUGUGUGUGUGUGUGUGUGUGACCGAACAGUAUCUUUCAUGAGGGGCCAGGGACUGAUCUACGCUGCCACGUCCAUCAAUGGGGUGCUGGCAAAGACCUCACCCCAGCCUCACCUCUUGCCUGCUCACCAACGGUCGUCGAUGGGGAGAACAAACUUCAACGUAGUAUAUAUUUGUGUGUCAGAUAUCACCUAUCCCUAACUCACAUAGGUAAUAGAACAGUGACUGUGUGUAUGUGUUCACAGAUGCAUGAGAUGCAGAGAGAUCUGGCGCUCAACACAACCACUCAACACAUCCACAAUAAGAUGGACUGGAGAUGCUUUUGCCAGACGCCAGCCUCAGGCGUUUGAUAGGGAGAAAUUGUAAACAUGUAUGGAGCCAGCACAUGGAGACUUGCAAGAUGUUGUGAUGAAGUCCAGAAUGACAGACGUGCUUGUUACUGAUGUCUCUGAAUGAAGAGAGAUUUGGUAUAAAAGUUUAACUAGACACAACUUUUACUUGUAUUGUCUUUUUUAAAUGAUUGAAUGGUAUCAGUUAAUAUGGGGAGGGAGAAA